CAAGCAUUAACCUUCAAAUAAAACUUCAAACAAGCAACAGAUUUAGAAUCUUGAACAACUUUAGGGAAUAAAUUCCAAAGAUUAUCACCAGUCUAACAGACUGCUUUCUACUCUCCACUUAUGCCUCUUCAGGUCAUUAGAUCUUUGAGCAAAUAGCGCUGAUGAAGAGUGCAUGGCUGAUUUCAAUCAGAAUGCUGAAAUUCAUGGACUGGCAUGCGAUGCUCUGAAUAUCCUGGGAGCAUGGAAAAAAGCUUUAUGACCAAAUCUUUGUCCUUUUACGGGCUUUCUGACUACUACAUUGCUUUCAUCACUACUAUUCCCACUUAUUACAAGCCAUGCCACUCAAGCACAGAUCAGCUGACGUCAGUGGAAAUUCCAGGUGCAGAAUGAAUACAGAACACAGCCUGUUGUCAUUUUGGAAAGUAACAAAAUAUAACAUGGGCAUUUGUGAAGGGUUUCUAGAUGCAAAGGUUGCAAAACACAUCAUACCAUCAUACUUGGUAAGAGUUCACAAGAGUUAGGAGUUUCUCAAACUAGUAAACAGAAUUCAAGGCAAAAUAGUUUGUGUAUUUCUAAGAUUAUAAAAGCAUCAGCUAUAUAUCUUUCCCUUGCAAAUGGCAGCCAAGAAUCAUGAGAUGAAAGAUGUGUGUUAGCCCUGCUGCUCACGUCACCAGGUUACUUUUCUAUGAGGAUAUAUUCAUCAUUUUGUUUACAAGGAGAUUUAAAAAAAAAAAAAAAAAAAAAAAGGAGAAAAUGAAUGGGCAUGGCAGAUUUUAAAUAAUGAUUAAAAUUAUUAAAUUAUUUUAAAAAAAGAUGUUAUUGAUUUAAUUGUACUUCUCUGAUUGCUAU
rnacentral:lncRNA from 1 species